rnacentral:rRNA from 1 species
UACGUAGGUGGCAAGCGUUGUCCGGAGUUAUUGGGCGUAAAGCGCGCGCAGGCGGUGCGGUAAGUCUCUGGUGAAAGCGCUCGGCUUAACUGGGCGAGGGCCGGGGAGACUGCCACGCUGGAGGGGAGCAGAGGCGAGUGGAAUUCCGGGUGUAGUGGUGAAAUGCGUAGAGAUCCGGAGGAACACCAGUGGCGAAGGCGGCUCGCUGGGCUCUACCUGACGCUGAGGCGCGAAAGUGUGGGGAGCGAACCGG